CUCCAAAGCAAGAAGGGAUCUAGAGGAGGAAGAGAGGAAGAGGAGGAGAGGCUCUGGAAACAAAAACACCAGCAAGGGAGAAGAAAAGCAUGAUGCCAAAGAGGAGGACCACCCUUUUUAUAGACUAGGAAUAAGGAUUUCACCAAGGGAAGGGUGCCAAGAGUCCAUGCCAAAACUAUUUUUGGUGCCCCAAAAAAUUUCAAAAAAAUUACUAUAGCAUGGA
rnacentral:lncRNA from 1 species